GACGUAGGGCGCGAGCGUUGUCCGGAUUUAUUGGGCGUAAAGAGCUCGUAGGCGGCUUGUCGCGUCGACUGUGAAAACUCGGGGCUCAACUCCGAGCUUGCAGUCGAUACGGGCAGGCUAGAGUUCGGUAGGGGAGACUGGAAUUCCUGGUGUAGCGGUGAAAUGCGCAGAUAUCAGGAGGAACACCGGUGGCGAAGGCGGAUCUCUGGGCCAUUACUGACGCUGAGGAGCGAAAGCGUGGGGAGCGAACAGG
rnacentral:rRNA from 1 species